CAAUAGUGAUGUUUCAUGUGUAUAAACAUGAAAAUUUAUUUUAACUGCAAAAUUCUAUUUUUUAAUAUUUUCUACACAUAUUAUCUAUUUAGUGUGAAAUACGACACUUAAAAAGGACAUACAUGUAGGGAUCAUAUAAGGACCAUAAUCAUAAGAUUAUAAGAACAUAGACAUGGAAUAAUCUCAGUUACAAAAGUUCUUGUCUAGUAUCUGGAGUAAAUCCAUUUACAAAGUAUGAGAUUCUUUUGAGCAAGUGUUUAUUAUUAUUAUCUUUGCCAUCAAAAUCUUGUAUAAUGUUAUGGAAUCAUCAACAUUUACUACUUCAGAUUUUCUACUAUGUGUUUCAAAAGCGCAAUUCUUAUUCUUACAACAUAUCUGGUUCAAUUAGAAGAUUGCAAUGUAAUUGUGCAUGGAUAUUUCAUUCUUCGAUAUAGAUAUAUGGUAUGCAAUUAUGCAAAUCACUUACACGGGUUCCUAUUUUGAUUCUUGAUGGGAUGUGUUUCAUUUAUACAUGUCUCUAAUACAUAGCGAAUGAUAGAUAAAUGAAUGAUGAUCCUUGUGCUACAUAAUAUGCAUAUAUAUUUGGAACUGUAUUAUAUUUUUGUUACAGUAUUGCAUUUUUAUUGUAUUAUUACAUUUGAAGCGGGAAUUUGGACAAAGAUCAGAUACUAAGCAGAGAUUUUGAAAAACUGAAUCUCAGCAGUAGGAAAAUG